rnacentral:rRNA from 1 species
UGGGGAAUAUUGCACAAUGGAGGGAACUCUGAUGCAGCGACGCCGCGUGAACGAAGAAGGCUUUCGCGUCGUAAAGUUCUUUUAUAUGGGAAGAUAAUGACGGUACCAUAAGAAAAAGCCACGGCUAACUACGUGCCAGCAGCCGCGGUAAUACGUAGGGGGCUAGCGUUGUCCGGAAUCACUGGGCGUAAAGGGUUCGCAGGCGGAAAUGCAAGUCAGGUGUAAAAGGCAGUAGCUUAACUACUGUAAUCAUUUGAAACUGCAUAUCUUGAGAAGAGUAGAGGUAAGUGGAAUUUUUAGUGUAGCGGUGAAAUGCGUAGAUAUUAAAAAGAAUACCGGUGGCGAAGGCGACUUACUGGGCUCAUUCUGUCGCUGAGGAACGAAAGCGUGGGUAGCAAACAGG